CAGUUCGGAUUGCAGGCUGCAACUCGCCUGUAUGAAGUCGGAAUUGCUAGUAAUCGCGGAUCAGCAUGCCGCGGUGAAUACGUUCCUGGGCCUUGUACACACCGCCCGUCACACCAUGAGAGCCGGGAACACCCGAAGUCAGUAGUCCAACCACGUGAGGACGCUGCCGAAGGUAGGAUUGGCGACUGGGGUGAAGUCGUAACAAGGUAAC
rnacentral:rRNA from 1 species